CGAAAAUGGAGGGGUUUGCUGAUAUAGGCCCGCCCCUUUACCGUGAGGCCCCACCCUCUACCAGAAGCUCCACCCCUUUUCGGUCGCGCCUUCAGCGCAGUGUGUCCCUACUUCCACGGGACAGAAGUUGGGAAGAAUGCUUACCACAGUGCUAAGGAAAGAGGAACAGAAGUUCAUCUACCAGUGUGCGAUCCUGGUUAAAACUUAAAAGCUGCUCGUCAUUACAGCAACGAGGAAAGGGUCUCCCUGUCUUAAGUACCCCGGGCCCUCCAAAGCCUUAAUCCAGAUCUACCGACGGUUAUCUGCUGCCACCAUACAGCUAAUGUAGUAGGCUAGGUGCAGCGAAGUGCUGCUGUGUGCGCAAACCUACUCAUGGAGCCACGGUAGUUUCAGGAGACCCGGCGGCUGCCUGCUGCUACAAUACAGCUGGUGCUGUUGUGUGCCCGAAGCCGCGGACUGUGCUGGAGACUGGGGAGCAUUACUGGAGUCCGCGGGAGUGUGCUCAGUGCUGGGGGAGACUUAUCCUCUGUUCACCCCAGCCUACCGUCAUUGUGCAUAAUAGAAUUCUGGCUAGAGGGAUCCGCCUGUGAUAUGCUAGGGAAGGCAACCUGGGGGUGUGUACUGGGCCUGAUGAUGGGCGCAAUCGCGAUGACGUCAUGGCGCCUGCACGCUGCUGGGAAGCCGCACUUCGGGUCUUUCACAUCACUGGUGACCGGUAUCUAUUUAGG